UGAAAUAGUUUCGUGUUAAAAAAUUAAUAAUAAUAUGAUGUAUUACGUCAAAAUAUAACACAAAAUGUUAGGUAGAUAGAAUAGGUACUUUGAUUGCGUAGCGAAGAAACUGUAUUAGUUUUACUGAGAUGAUUUUCCUCUUUCGGGAGACAAUCGUUCGGUUGGAUAAAAUGCUCAGAUUUUUUUACGGAAUACCCCAGUAAAAAUGCAGAAUUUCCAUCCGGUACUAUUAGUACUGUGUAUUACGGUUGUGAUAUUUUGUUUAAUUCACAAGAAUUCAGUCUGUAGAUCCUUUUUUUUUUUUUUUUGGAGGGGGAUAAAGUUUUUAUCUCAAAAAUUAAUUUUAAGACUAAUAAAAACACUCCGAAUUGAUCACGUUUUACCUUGAAAUAUGAAAUUUUUUCUUUUAGCUGUAACUUAUUCAAACAAACUUUCUAGAUUUUCGACGGCUUUUUUUGUUUUUUUUUCUUAAACAAUUAGUAAAAUUUACACGGCGCGUAAGUUUCGUUUUCGUUCGUCGAUUUCCGGUUAACCUUGGCUAUAAGAAGAAAAACACAACCGAUAUACUUUAACAUUAACCGGUUUACUGCACAACUCCACUCCGAAUCGUUUUUUUGCUUGUGACGAUGUGCUGUUGGCUUCAGCGUUUAAUAUAUACUAAAUUGUAUGCAAUUCGUUUUACCCUUUACACCCUACACUUCCCUACGUCCCACCUAUAACGGUGACC